UUCCUGAAAACUUUAGAUCUAUCUACCUUAGAAUUUUGAUGUUGAAAAUCCAAGGAUAAGAGGUAGAUAGAGGUGAAAUGUUAAUCGAUAAAGUUGAUAGCUGGUUAGUGGAGAAAUAUAUAUUCGUAUAAGUUUUUUAUUGCUUAUUUUUAAAUGAGGUUGAGGGUAAGUUUAAGAAAUUAAAGAUUUUUGAGGUUUAGCUCAAUUAGAAAAAUUAGUUAUAUGUAGUUAGUUAAAAAGUAAGAAUUAAAUUUUCUAGCUUUUAUAUAUUUUUAUAAAUUAUUACUAAACAUAUAUUUUAAUGAAUAUCCACUUGUAGGACUCAACGGAUGUCCUUAAAUUAGUAUAAAAUUAGUAUUAGAGAAGAAAAUUUGUAUUAUAAUAGUAUUUAUAAAAUAAAAAUUUGUUGAGGUGAUAUAUAGAUAAGGAACUCGGCAAAACUACUUUUCGCUUGUUUAACAAAAACAUCGCCCCUUGGUUUUAUAUAAGGGGUUGGGCCUGCCCGGUGAAAAUUUUAAACGGCCGCAGUUAGAAGCUGUGCUAAGGUAGCGUAAUAAAUUGUCUUUUAAUUGAAGAAAGGAAUGAAAGGUUUGACGUAAUGGUAACUGUCUCAUCUAUAAGUUAAGAAGUUUUCGUUUAAGUGAAAAGUCUUAAAUGAAAUUAGAAGACGAGAAGACCCUGUCGAGCUUAUAUAUCUUUAUUAGGAGGUAGUAAAGUAAAGUUUAGUUGGGGCAACUAGGAAGCAGAAAAGACUUCCUAUAAAAGUAUGAAGAUCCAAUAAUAUUGAAAAUAGAAGAAGCUACCGCAGGGAUAACAGCGUUAUUUCUUUUGAGAGAUCUAAUUGAAGAAGAAGAUUGCGACCUCGAUGUUGGAUUAGAAUUUCUUAUUGGCGUAGAGGCUGAUUAAGUAGGACUGUUCGUCCUUUAAAAUUCUACAUGAUCUGAGUUCAGACCGGUGUGAACUAGGUCGGUUUCUAUCUCUAGUUUUAAGUUAUCUUUGUACGAAAGGACCAGGUUUCUUAGUUUUUAAUUAAGUUAAAAUAAAAGUUAUUAGAUUU
rnacentral:rRNA from 1 species